rnacentral:rRNA from 1 species
ACUGAACGCUGGCGGCAGGCUUAACACAUGCAAGUCGAGCGGAGUGAUGGUGCUUGCACUAUCACUUAGCGGCGGACGGGUGAGUAAUGCUUAGGAAUCUGCCUAUUAGUGGGGGACAACAUCUCGAAAGGGAUGCUAAUACCGCAUACGUCCUACGGGAGAAAGCAGGGGAUCACUUGUGACCUUGCGCUAAUAGAUGAGCCUAAGUCGGAUUAGCUAGUUGGUGGGGUAAAGGCCUACCAAGGCGACGAUCUGUAGCGGGUCUGAGAGGAUGAUCCGCCACACUGGGACUGAGACACGGCCCAGACUCCUACGGGAGGCAGCAGUGGGGAAUAUUGGACAAUGGGGGGAACCCUGAUCCAGCCAUGCCGCGUGUGUGAAGAAGGCCUUAUGGUUGUAAAGCACUUUAAGCGAGGAGGAGGCUCUUUUGGUUAAUACCCAAGAUGAGUGGACGUUACUCGCAGAAUAAGCACCGGCUAACUCUGUGCCAGCAGCCGCCGUAA